rnacentral:rRNA from 1 species
AACGAACGCUGGCGGCAUGCCUAACACAUGCAAGUCGAACGAGCCCUUCGGGUCUAGUGGCGCACGGUUGCGUAACGCGUGGGAACCUUCCCUUAGGUUCGGCAUAACUCCCCGACAGGGUUGCUAAUACCGGAUAAUGUCUUCGGACCAAAGAUUUAUCGCCUUUGGAUGGGCCCGCGUUGGAUUAGCUAGUUGGUAGGGUAAAAGCCUACCAAGGCGUCGAUCCAUAGCUGGUCUGAGAGGAUGAUCAGCCACACUGGGACUGAGACACGGCCCAGACUCCUACGGGAGGCAGGAGUGGGGAAUAUUGGACAAUGGGCGAAAGCAUGAACCAGCAAUGCCGCGUGAGUGAUGAAGGCCUUAGGGUUGUAAAGCUCUUUUACCCGGGAUGAUAAUGACAGUACCGGAAGAAUAAGCUCCGGCUAACUCCGUG